rnacentral:rRNA from 1 species
GCAGCCGGGGUAAGACGUAGGGGGCGAGCGUUGUCCGGAAUUACUGGGCGUAAAGGGCGUGUAGGCGGCCUUUAAAGUCAGCUGUGAAAUCCCUUGGCUCAACUGAGGGCUUGCAGUUGAAACUUAAAGGCUUGAGUGCAGGAGAGGAAGGUGGAAUUCCCAGUGUAGCGGUGAAAUGCGUAGAUAUUGGGAGGAACACCGGUGGCGAAGGCGGCCUUCUGGCCUGUAACUGACGCUGAGGCGCGAAAGCUAGGGGAGCAAACAGGAUUAGAUACCCUGGUAGUCCUAGCUGUAAACGCUGGGUACUAGGUGUAGGGGGUUUAGACGCUCUCUGUGCCGUAGUUAACGCAUUAAGUACCCCGCCUGGGGAGUACGAUCGCAAGGUUGAAACUCAAAGGAAUUGACGGGGGCCCGCACAAGCGGUGGAGCAUGUGGUUUAAUUCGACGCAACGCGAAGAACCUUACCAGGGCUUGACAUCUAGCUGAAGUAUUUUGGAGACAAGAUAUUCACUUCGGUGCAGUUAGACAGGUGGUGCAUGGUUGUCGUCAGCUCGUGUCGUGAGAUGUUGGGUUAAGUCCCGCAACGAGCGCAACCCUUAUUCUUAGUUGCCAUCAGGUGAAGCUGGGCACUCUAAGGAGACUGCCGGUGACAAACCGGAGGAAGGUGGGGAUGACGUCAAAUCAUCAUGCCCUUUAUGUCCUGGGCCACACACGCUACAAUGGUCGGUACAAUGGGUGGCCAAGCCGCGAGGCGGAGCUAAUCCCAGCAAAACCGGCCUCAGUUCGGAUUGGAGGCUGCAACCCGCCUCCAUGAAGUCGGAGUUGCUAGUAAAUGCCGGUCAGCCAUACGGCGUUGAAUACGUUCCCGGGCCUUGUACACACCGCCCGUCACGUCAUGGGAGCUGGUAACACCUGAAGUCGGUGUGCUAACCCGCAAGGGGGGCAGCUGCCGAGGGUGGGACUGGUGACUGGGACGAAGUCGUAACAAGGUAACCA